GAUGAACGCUGGCGGCGUGCCUAAUACAUGCAAGUCGAGCGAACGGACGAGAAGCUUGCUCCUCUGAUGUUAGCGGCGGACGGGUGAGUAACACGUGGAUCACCUACCUCUAAGACUGGGAUAACUUCGGGAAACCGGAGCUACUACUGGAUAAUAUUUCGAACCGCAUGGUUCAAAAGUGAAUGACGGUCUUGCCGUCACUUAUAGCUGGUUCCGCGCUGCAUUAGCUAGUUGGUAAGGUAACGGCUUACCAAGGCGACGAUGCAUAGCCGACCUGAGAGGGUGAUCAGCCACACUGGAACUGAGACACGGUCCAGACUCCUACGGGAGGCAGCAGUAGGGAAUCUUCCGCAAUGGGCGAAAGCCUGACGGAGCAACGCCGCGUGAGUGAUGAAGGUCUUCGGAUCGUAAAACUCUUUUAUUGGGAAAGAACAUAUGUGUAAGUAACUGUGCACAUCUUGACGGUACCUAAUCAGAAAGCCACGGCUAACUACGUG
rnacentral:rRNA from 1 species